rnacentral:tRNA from 8 species
GCGGGAGUAGCUCACUUGGUAGAGCGCGACCUUGCCAAGGUCGAGGUAGCGGGUUCGAAGCCCGUCUCCCGCUCCA